rnacentral:rRNA from 1 species
CAGUCGAGGGGUAACAGUAUGUAGCAAUACAUAGCUGACGACCGGCGCACUGGGUGAGUAACGCGUAUGCAACCUGUCCGUUACAGGGGAAUAGCCCAUGGAAACGUGGAUUAAUGCUCCAUAAUAUAAUAUAGAGGCAUCUUUAUGUUAUUAAAUAUUUAUAGGUAACGGUUGGGCAUGCGUCCUAUUAGAUAGUUGGGGGGGUAACGGCCCACCAAGUCGAUGAUAGGUAGGGGUUCUGAGAGGAAGGUCCCCCACACUGGUACUGAGACACGGACCAGACUCCUACGGGAGGCAGCAGUGAGGAAUAUUGGUCAAUGGGCGAGAGCCUGAACCAGCCAAGUCGCGUGAGGGAUGACUGCCCUAUGGGUUGUAAACCUCUUUUGUAUGGGGGGAAUAAGCUUUACGAGUAGAGUGAUGACAGUACCAUACGAAUAAGCAUCGGCUAACUCCGUGCCAGCAGCCGCGGUAAUACGGAGGAUGCGAGCGUUAUCCGGAUUUAUUGGGUUUAAAGGGUGCGUAGGCGGCAUUAUAAGUUAGUGGUAAAAUAUUGGGGCUUCACCUCACUACGCCAUUAAUACUGUAGAGCUAGAGAACAGACGAGGUAGGCGGAAUAAGUUAAGUAGCGGUGAAAUGCAUAGAUAUAACUUAGAACACCGAUAGCGAAGGCAGCUUACCAGACUGAGUCUGACGCUGAUGCACGAGAGCAUGGGUAGCGAACAGGAUUAGAUACCCUGGUAGUCCAUGCCGUAAACGAUGCUCACUGGCC